rnacentral:rRNA from 1 species
UACGUAGGGUGCGAGCGUUAAUCGGAAUUACUGGGCGUAAAGUGUGAGCAGGUGGCCGCGCAAGUCGAGUGUGAAAUCCCCGAGCUUAACUUGGGAAUUGCGCUCGAAACUACGUGGCUGGAGUGUGGCAGAGGAAGGUGGAAUUCCAGGUGUAGCGGUGAAAUGCGUAGAGAUCUGGAGGAACACCGAUGGCGAAGGCAGCCUUCUGGGCCAACACUGACACUCAUGCACGAAAGCGUGGGGAGCAAACAGG